GGCUUGAGCAUAUAAGCCCAA
rnacentral:snRNA from 1 species